GUCCUCCUGAUUUUUUCCCUCAAGAAAAAUUCAUAGAGGAACUAAAGAUGAUUUGCAAAUGUAAUUGCAAAAAGAGAUAAUUUUAAUAUCAGAAGAUUGCAAAGAAAACAAAAGAAGGAGGAAUUUGACUGGGUGUAAUUCUUCUAAGGAAAGACAACACCAGCCUGCAGGCGUACACACAUCUAGGACAUCCUGUUGAUGGUAACAUUUUAAUUCACGGACUCAUGCAUCUUCUUUGCAAGCAGCUUGAUUUACACAAGAAAUCCAGAAAUGACACAUCCAGUGACAAGGCCAAAUCUGUAAUUCCAGCUGGAAGCCAGUGCUCGUUUCAGUCAAAGAGACCAAAUCGGGGUGUGACUCAAGGAGUCGGACAUCAGAGCAGCGACCAGAAUGAUGUCGAUUUUGAUCAGGUGUGCUCAGGAGCAUUGCUAAGAGGCAAUGAUUCUGGGAAAUCUUCCAAAAGUGCCAAAUGGAGGAAAAAGCUCUCAUGUGUUGGCACAAA